CAGUCGCCGCGGGAAUACGGAGGGUGCAAGCGUUAAUCGGAAUUACUGGGCGUAAAGCGCACGCAGGCGGUCUGUCAAGUCAGAUGUGAAAUCCCCGGGCUUAACCUGGGAACUGCAUUUGAAACUGGCAGGCUAGAGUCUUGUAGAGGGGGGUAGAAUUCCAGGUGUAGCGGCGAAAUGCGUAGAGAUCUGGAGGAAUACCGGUGGCGAAGGCGGCCCCCUGGACAAAGACUGACGCUCAGGUGCGAAAGCGUGGGGAGCAAACAGGAUUAGAGACCCGUGUAGUCCCUGUCUCUUAUAC
rnacentral:rRNA from 1 species